rnacentral:rRNA from 1 species
AUGCGGUGGUCGCCUGGCUCGGCAUGCUCGCCACUGAAUCGGCGUCAUGAAGACACGGUUCAAGAUUGGUGGCUUAAGACGAUAAACUCUCGAGGGCACAUCAAGAAAGCCACUGCCUCUGUUUUGAUGCUUGUCAUGUGGGGAAUGUGGAAGGAGCGGAACGCAAGAGUCUUUCGUAACACGACUUCACCGACCACCAUUAUUGUUGCCAAGAUCAAAGAGGAGGCCCAUCUUUGGGCGUUGGCGGGAGCCAAACACCUGAGUGCGCUUAUGUCGCGAGAGUAA